rnacentral:lncRNA from 1 species
CGUGGUUUGAGCAAUAUUUACAUGUUCGUGGGUUUUUAAAUUCGUGAAUUUUAGUUUUCUUAAAUAAAAAUUGAAAAAUUAAAGCCUUUAGAAACGAAGGUUACAAAUAGUCUGGAUUGAAGGAAAUUGCAAAGUAAACAUUGACUCGUGUAAAUCGUAGUGACAACACUAAUUAACCCAAGAUAAAGUGAUCAACAGAUUAAGGACCAUCAAAGGUGUUAAUUAGGCCAUAAACAUGUCACCUAAAGAAAUCAGUAUCAUAAACAAAUGCUAUAAUUGUAUCUUGAAUUGUCA